AUGAGAUAGGCAGGGUGAAAAAGCUGCUCUCAGAGGAUGCACAGAAACAAGUCCCAGCUGCAUGGAUAAUGAGGUAAUGGCAUACCAGUAAGAGACAUUUAAUUAUAUCCAUUCUGGCAAGCCAUUUAUUUCUUUGCUGUGCUAAUGCUGAGCCAAUGAAGAAUAACGAUAUUAUCAUUUCUGAAUCCUAUCAUAAUUUGUAACAAUUGCUGGCAAUUACAAAACUACUCUUAAAAAGUUCAGUGCCAAACUGCAAGAGAGAUACUUUGCAGAGCCAUAUUUUCACAUGUUAAGUAGAGGGAGUUUAUCAGAGGAAGAAUUUUACAGGCUCAGAUGCUUGUCUAUAUAGCAGCCUAGUAAAAGAUGUUAAUCUCCACUUUUUGUUCAUUGAUUUUUAUAUUCAAACAUAGACUUUUCAUAAAGGAAAUGCAUUACAAGGCUUUGUUUUUUUAAUCUGAAAAUUAUUUUAAUGCAGAAUUUAGUGAACUUUAUAUUGGGUGUCAUCUAAGUGUCACUCAUUUAACUGGAAUUAAUGAUGAUCCUCUAGGGUGGUGACUAAGACAAACAGCCAGCAGAUGGAGGGAGCAGACUGGGACAGAAAGCAACCAAAGUCUGCAGAAUUUACUGAACUGAGACUCCAAUUAUGUAAGAGAUGAUUAGCUGGGACAAGAUGAAUAGGUUGUGUCACGGACUCCAUAACUGUCUAUUCCAUGGGAGGAUGUGGAUGCUUCUAAUCCACCCUGGCCUGAUUCUUUUCCACAGCCCUGACCCAACCCCCACCAAUGCUGAGAACGGGCUUCUAGAGACUUGAUAAAUGCACACAGUGAGAAUUACAGGUCCUGGAAUAUAUUGUCUUUGUACCACAGCACCAGCUGAACACACAAGAUUUACAAAGGCUAGCAAUUAGAAAUCAGUGCCUCAUGCAGUGUUAUGUGGCACCCUCUGUGAGAUCACGUAAAACCAGAUCCCAUUCCUUUCAUCCUUCUUAUGUCAAGACUUGGGCUUUGCUAACACAGAGUGAGCUACCAGCAAUAAUCAUACCCACUUAAUAUACACAGAGGCGAAAGGGGAUUAAGCACAGGCAGAGGGGACAGAAAUACACCACACACCUGAUUUUUCUCCACUCAAGCAUCAAGAGCAUUUAUACCAAACAAGACAAAUACUCUAAACCUCCAUUUCUAAAGGAUGUUAACCUGGGGUAGGUAUCACUUUGGAGUGCUUCCAGCUGGACCAAGGCUUGCGGUGGUGUUCUUUAUACCAAUCUUUGCUGACCACAAGGUAAUGUGGGAUCUUAGGUACAGUAAUAACUUAGAGAUGACCAGCAGAGCUGAAAACCCCCUCCUGAGCCAUCCACAGCUGAAGUGCAGUAAGACCCAUAAACCAUGUCCUGUAGAGUUACCUGCUACUCUUCUAAGCGUGGCAAACAGAAAUCUGGCAACUUCAACUGAGGAGUUUCCCAGAGCAGGGGAGUAGAGCCCACAGUACUUUGGGAUGUGUUUUUCUGUGUGAGCAGCCUGACUAUUUUUUUUCCUAGACUGGAGGAAGAGGAAAUGGUGAUGGUCCUGCACUACAGACUAUCUCUAAGGCUAAUAUCAGCCCCCAGAAAGGCCAUGGACUGCCUGAGCUAGUUGUGUGGGGAGUUUGCUUUAGAAAGAUAUUGGGGAAGGGCUUGGGAAGGAAGAACUACAAGAGGAGGACCCUGAGCUGCACAGGUGAUAUGAAAGACUGUAUCUGCUGGAAAUCUACAGGAUCACUUGUCAGAAGAUUACAUUUCUGAUGGCUUACAAUCUACAGCAUAAAAUUGGUUAUACCAAUUUGUUGCAGGUCCUAUAAGUCCUUAUGGUAAGUAAAACACAUAUUGGUUAACUCUAUAGGAAAUGGUGGAACUGGAUACCAAGUGAAUGAAUGCUGAAGAAGUUUCUGUCCUUGGAACCUGGCAGCCAGAGGGCUUGUGUUCAGCUCCACUCCUGCCAUUUCUG